rnacentral:tRNA from 1 species
GCACCAGUGAUUAAGUGGUAGAAUAGUACCUUGCCAUCGAAUAGACCUGGGUUCGAUUCCCGGGUGGUGCA